AUUGAACGCUGGCGGCAUGCCUUACACAUGCAAGUCGAACGGCAGCACGGGUGCUUGCACCUGGUGGCGAGUGGCGAACGGGUGAGUAAUACAUCGGAACAUGUCCUGUAGUGGGGGAUAGCCCGGCGAAAGCCGGAUUAAUACCGCAUACGAUCUACGGAUGAAAGCGGGGGACCUUCGGGCCUCGCGCUAUAGGGUUAGCCGAUGGCUGAUUAGCUAGUUGGUGGGGUAAAGGCCUACCAAGGCGACGAUCAGUAGCUGGUCUGAGAGGACGACCAGCCACACUGGGACUGAGACACGGCCCAGACUCCUACGGGAGGCAGCAGUGUGGAAUUUUGGACAAUGGGCGAAAGCCUGAUCCAGCAAUGCCGCGUGUGUGAAGAAGGCCUUCGGGUUGUAAAGCACUUUUGUCCGGAAAGAAAUCCUUGGCCCUAAUACGGUCGGGGGAUGACGGUACCGGAAGAAUAAGCACCGGCUAACUACGUG
rnacentral:rRNA from 1 species